CCUACGGGUGGCAGCAGUGGGGAAUAUUGGGCAAUGGGCGCAAGCCUGACCCAGCAACGUCGCGUGCAGGAAGAAGGCUCUCGGGUUGUAAACUUCUUUUGUCAGGGAAGAGUAGAAGACGGUACCUGACGAAUAAGCCACGGCUAACUACGUGCCAGCAGCCGCGGUAAUACGUAGGUGGCAAGCGUUGUCCGGAUUUACUGGGUGUAAAGGGCGUGUAGCCGGGUUGACAAGUCAGAUGUGAAAUCCUGCGGCUUAACCGCAGAACUGCAUUUGAAACUGUUGCUCUUGAGUACUGGAGAGGCAGAUGGAAUUCCUGGUGUAGCGGUGAAAUGCGUAGAUAUUAGGAAGAACACCAGUGGCGAAGGCGGUCUGCUGGACAGCAACUGACGGUGAGGCGCGAAAGCGUGGGGAGCAAACAGGAUUAGAUACCCCAGUAGUC
rnacentral:rRNA from 1 species